GAUGGAGACAAAGAAAUAUAAGAUAUUGGAUAGACAAGAUGGAUAGCCCGUGGCCCUAAAAUGGAGAGAGCUGCUACAUGUAAGACACCAUAGAAUUAAAUAGUAGUAACAUUACCGGACUGAAAUGAUAACCCAUAUUUUUCUCUGUUUUUGCAAUUUAAAUUAAACAAACUUAUAUAAUAAUGGCUGCCAAUGAAAUAUGAUGUGCCCGUCUUUAAGAGGACAGCAUCUGCUAGGUCAUAAUCACAGUUAAGUACAACUUUUAUAUUUGACCACCAAUCCACUUCCUUGAGCAUUUACCAAACAUGCCAUCUAUAUAACAGGGGAGGACUGCUUUUGAAUCCAAUACAUAACCAACGGUUCAGAUUUAUCCCCUCUUUUUGCAUAAAUCUAGACCGUUGGCUUAAUUGAGGUAGUGAUCUCUCUCACCAUCUCAUCAGAUGCUCUCUCGCUCUCCCUCUCUCUUUCAUGUCUUUCAGAGGCACCCAACCCACAUUGAUUGGGAAGCUACAAUUCAAAAAUGAUGAUGCGGGUUUUUUGGGUAUUAUUUUUCAUUAGCCUUUUACUGCUUAUAUCCAAUUAGUUUAAAUAGGCUUCCGUCCAAUUUUUUCUUUCCAAUCUUGGUUUGUGAUAUUUUUUUAAUUUUGUUUGUCCUUUCCCUUGCAUUAGGCAAUGAUUAGCAAAGGAAAGCCAACACAUGUGGGCAAUGGAGAAGAAGAUUCACGGGCACAAUCCGGUAAAGAGAUAUCAAAAGGAACACUUGCGCAAUGUGCACGACGACAACGAGAACGAAUUUUGACGCAAAGCACUGCUUGGCAAUCGGAACAACACUCGCCAGUAAAUACAAGUUUAAGACUCCUAUUAAUCAAAAUCAUGUUCAACUAUCUACAUCUUCUAACCAUGCUUUUCUUUUCUUUUUUGUAAUUCUUUCUCAAUUGAUAACUUUGUACGUAAAGAUUCAACCUCUCUGAGAUGGAAAUAUUAGAGCUGAAAUCCGCA